rnacentral:tRNA from 1 species
GUAGCCGAGUGGUUAAGGCGAUGGACUAGAGAUCUAUUGAAGUCUCCCCGCAGAGGUUCGAAUCCUCUC